GAUGAACGCUAGCGACAGGCCUAACACAUGCAAGUCGAGGGGCAGCAUGAAAUUAGCUUGCUAAUUUUGAUGGCGACCGGCGCACGGGUGAGUAACACGUAUGCAACCUCCCUGUAGGCGGGGAAUAACCCGAAAAAUUUCGGACUAUUACCGCAUAUUAUCAUAAUUUCUAAUGUUUUAAGAAUUAAAAUUUUAUUGCUUCAAGAUGGGCAUGCGUAUGUUUAGCUAGUUGGCGGGGUAACGGCCCAACAAGGCGACGAUCAUUAGGGGUUCUGAGAGGAAGGUCCCCCACAUUGGAACUGAGACACGGUCCAAACUCCUACGGGAGGCAGCAGUGAGGAAUAUUGGUCAAUGGACGCAAGUCUGAACCAGCCAUGUCGCGUGAAGGAUGACUGUCCUAUGGAUUGUAAACUUCUUUUAUAUGGGGAUAAAGUGUGAGACUUGUCUCAUUUUGCAUGUACCAUAUGAAUAAGCAUCGGCUAACUCCGUGCCAGCAGCCGCGGUAAUAC
rnacentral:rRNA from 1 species